rnacentral:sRNA from 1 species
GCUGGGUAUGGUGGUGCACACCUGUAAACCCAGCAACUUGGGAGGCUGAGGCAGGAGGAUCACAAGUUUGAGUUCAGUGUCAGGAACUUAGUGAGACUCUGUCUUAA